CUUUAGGGAAGCUUCGGUCAACCACUUGGUGUUACACUGAAGUGGACUUGAGGGAAGGUCAAUGAUUGGAGAUCCUUUUAGAACCCGGUUACUAUUCUAGGACAGGUUGAACCAACUAAACUUCAGUGGGGAGGGUACUUACCUAUGGAACUCAUGCAAGCCUCAAAACCUAGGAAUGAUGGUUGUAUGACUUGCUUGUGCUUGUUAUUUAUUUAACCUCAUAACAUCAUAACAUCAUGACAUCAUAACAUUGUACUAACUAUUUCAAGGACUUAGGGAUUUAACUU
rnacentral:lncRNA from 1 species